rnacentral:snoRNA from 14 species
GCAUGCAGAUUUAUGCCAGAACAAACUGUGUCUGAGACAUCUCCUGCCCUCUGCAUCUAAGGGCUUCUGGCACUGAAGUGGAAUGGAAGUG